ACUCUAUUAAAUCAUCCCACAUAUGCAACGUAACUUGGGCCUCCAUGGCAUGCAUCAGAAACCCAACAUCUAUUCUAUUACAAAACAAAAUAGAAAUAAAUAAAAAUGGACAAAAAAAGGUCAAAAAAAAACGCCUAAAAAGGCUGAAAAAUCGAACCAGCCCUUGCUUGGGCCCAAAACACGCGGCCCAGCCGCCCAGGCCCGUCCAGCAGCGGCCCAGAUCCACAAGGAGCAGCCCAGGACCCGUCGACCCGCGCCCUGCCCGUCUGAC
rnacentral:lncRNA from 1 species